AACGAACGCUGGCGGCAUGCCUAACACAUGCAAGUCGAACGAGACCUUCGGGUUUAGUGGCGCACGGGUGCGUAACGCGUGGGAACGUGCCCUUAGGUUCGGAAUAACUCACCGAAACUGGUGCUAAUACCGAAUAUUGUCUUCGGAGCAAAGAUUAAUCGCCUUUAGAUUGGCCCGCGUCUGAUUAGCUAGUUGGUAGAGUUAAUGGCUAACCAAGGCGACGAUCAUUAGCUGGUCUGAGAGGAUGAUCAGCCACACUGGGACUGAGACACGGCCCAGACUCCUACGGGAGGCAGCAGUGGGGAAUAUUGCACAAUGGGCGAAAGCCUGACGCAGCAAUGCCGCGUGAAUGAUGAAGGUCUUAGGAUUGUAAAACUCUUUUACCCGGGACGAUAAUGACGGUACCCGGAGAAUAAGCCCCGGCUAACUCCGUG
rnacentral:rRNA from 1 species